rnacentral:rRNA from 1 species
CCUGCCCAAUGUUUUUAUCAAUGGCCGCGGUAUCCUGACCGUGCGAAGGUAGCAUAAUCAUUAGUCUCUUAAUUAGAGGCUGGUAUGAACGGCUUAACGAGAAAAGGACUGUCUCUAAAAGAACAAUUGAAAUUCAUUUUUAAGUGAAAAAGCUUAAAUGAUUCUGAAGGACGAUAAGACCCUAUAGAGCUUUAUUUCUAAAAAGUUAAUAUUUACCAGAAGUAAUAAAUCUAACUUUUCAAGAAAUUUUGUUGGGGCGACAGAAAGAUAAUAUUCAACUCUUCAUUAAUUAAACAGCUAUCGCUGAAUUCUAGAUCCUUUACGAAAGAUCAAAAGAACAAGUUACCUUAGGGAUAACAGCGUAAUCCUCUCCAAGAGUUCAUAUCGACGAAAGGGUUUGCGACCUCGAUGUUGGAUUAAGAAAUUGCUUAGGUGCAGCCGCUUAAGUAAAAGGU